rnacentral:lncRNA from 1 species
UCAGUGAUCGUCGUUUCUGCUUGAGCUUUGAGCCUGACUUUGCAGUGUGGACACCUGAAGCUGAUUUAAGCCAUACCAUUUCGUCUGGAGCAUUGCAAAUGGAGGGUUUGAUUUGCAGUAUCACGUGUUUGUGGAAGGGGAGAAUGCUAUCAAUCUUUUGGUGGUCCCAUACCGUGUAGUUAGCAAGCAUUGGAUCUGAAACCUUGAGGUCUUUACAAACUUCCGGGGCAGGUUCAUAUGGUCUGAGUUGCUCUGUAGACGAAACCCAAUCAUCAUACCACACAUUGAUAUUCUUUCCCGUUCCCACGAUCCAUCCAAG